AGGUUUGCGCAUUGAAGAUAUCGUAACCAAUAAGGUUUUACUGAGGUGCGAUUAUUGCUAGUUGAAAAAAAAAUCCUAUUUAAUAGUGUAUCUUGUAUUCUACAAGGAAUAUGGAACAGUUUUUUUUUCUGAUAACGGU